AGGGUGGUUGUGUUUAGCCGUCAGCCGUCACUUAGGAGACAAUCAAUUUUGAGUUUCACGCAGAGUGCUUUUACUCCAAGCGAAGUGCCCGUUCCGAUCUCCAGUCCUUGCAGCGACGAGCCCGGCUUCUCUCUGUCCUAGGGAGCUGGAGUCUUGUCAGUAGGAAUGGACAGUGCAGAAUGUGGACUUUUAAAUCAGAUGUUGCAAAUCGACCCCUUUUUUUGUUUAUGCGACCGUCUUUCCCUCCGUGACAGAGACCUCCUCUCCACCCGUCUCCCGAAGUGGGGGGCACGUCUGUAGUGUUUUAGCCGCCGCUCCCCGCCUGCCCAGUGUGUGCAAGUGCUGCGUCUGUGCCUCCUGUGUAUUACUUCUCCGGGACUGGCAGCCCAAGUGAAGGGACCUGUCUCCUGAGAAGGGAACCCCGCCCCGAGAGCUUGGCCAGGGCUCUGUGCCUGUGCGCGAGGUCCGUGUAGCCGGCUUCGUCCCAGGAGCCCUUGCGGACGGCGCCCUGACUCCUGCUUCUCUCUUUGCUGCUUCCCACCUCGAGGCCUGCCCUCACCCCGUGCAUCCGUCCAAUGCAAAGUAGGAAGGAGAAGUUGUACAAAGAUGCCAGGUUUCAUGGUGAAUGUGAUUUUUUUAAAAAAACCUAUUUACUGGCAUACACCCUAAAUGUUUUUUCCAGCUAAUGUAAUGAUGAUGACCUCAGAGUUCAGUUCAGAGUUCUGCGAAGGGUAUUUUAGGAAUCUAGUCCCCACCAUCCUUUAUUUUCAUAACUAGAAUCUGCUUAGUAAAGUCGUCAGGAGGUGGCUUUCUUUUGUUAUCCUAUUUUUAGUUUCAGACCCUCGAGAGGAAGCUAUUUAGUGGUUACUCAUCAUUGUGAAGAGGGUCUAGCGAUUGCAGGAACUUGUCAGGGCAGAUCGUUUUUUGUAGUUGGAGUGUGGUUAACAUGCAGUGUUUCAGGUGUCCAGCGCAGGUUGGGUACAUGGCGUACAUCAUGAAAUGCUCCCCGCGAUCCGUGCAGCCCCCACCUGUCGUCCUGCUUCGGUCACCAGGGUUAUCCCAGUGUCACUGACGAUGCUGCCUGCGGCUCGUCUCCUCCCGCGGACUUGUUUUCUGACCACGAGUGUGUGCCUGUGAGCCCUUCGCCGGUGUGGCCUCCCCACGUGUCCCUCCCCUCUGACAACAACCGGUUUGUUCUCGGUUUCUGUUUUGUUCGUCUGUGUUUGUAGCUCCCACACACACGUCUUCCAGCUUCCUUCGCGGCUUGUGAAGUCCCGAUCCAGGUAGAUGCGGGCAGGAGUAGCUGUUUAAAACAGGGACUUCGCGAGACACUCGGCCCUCCUGGGAUACUGUCUCGUCGCGUAGCCCCUCCGCCUGCGCUUUCCCCUCUUCCCCGGCUAGGCUGUUCGCCGUGGAAUUGUGGAUCCGCGCAUCCAGGAUGGCCCUGGGCCGUGCGCGCGCCGGCGGGUCGGCCUUGCCCUAGAGCGCUGUUUGCGGACGGGUCGCCCCCACGUCCUCAGUUAGAAAGCGUGUAGCCCUCCGUUAAUGAAGAGACAUUUGCCAGUAUCAGGGAACCUCCGAAGACUUUGUUUGUUGAGUAAACCCCAGAGCAAAGAUGGUUUUACGGGUUUACUGUGGACUUGUCUGGGGAGUCCCGGGACCAGCUGAAGCGGAGAACAAGGAGGGUGCGCUCUGCCUUCGGCUCUGUGCCAGUUUAUGAUCGCUUCCGUUCCGCAGGCGGCGAGAGCCGCUCCGUGUUGCGAGGGCCGUGGCCGUCGGAAUUAAGGGAAACGACCGUUUUCCAGUGUGCGUUUCUCGAAUCUGAAGCUGCCCCUGCCCCGUAGAGCAGCCCCGUUUGAAGAACAGUAGGAGCUGACUCUGCGUGGAUUAUAGUAAUUUGGUGAUUCCGGCUGAGUCAUUAUACUGCAUGGCAAAUUGAUUUUUCUCUUUCCAUUUAUCUUCGUGGUGGAGCGCCUCCAGGAGCUCACCUGCAGGCGCGGACGGACGUGCGGUGCUGUUCCGCGGAACUUGGACUAACCGGGUCUCUGCGAGAUGGCCAGAGGCCUGUAUGUCAUUUCCGCGUACGACUUCGUUCUCAAUCCUAAACUCUCCGGAUGCGCCCUCUUCCUCCCGUGCUCAUGCCUUCCUCUUCCUCCUGUCUCUGUCUUCUCUUUGCGACCCGUGGCCCUUAGAUGCGGGGCGUGUGUUGGGUGGGGGCGGGGUCCUGACGCCCGAUCGCAAAGCGCUUCUUUGGAGCAAGACGCCCGUGAACAGGCUUCCCAGGGCUUUAGGGACCACUGGUGGUGUUGGUAGUCUGGAAAAUUGUAACCCUUUUUCCUUGGGCUUUUUCGGCUGAUGUCUCUCUGCCGCAUCAGUGACUCCCCACGCCAGCCACGUGUCCUUUGGCUCUGGGGGUCUGUUACAGCACGGGCUGUGAGCAGAACCAUCAACUCUUUCUACAAAGAAGAACUCCCCGAUACUGUCGCCGGGCCAGGGGGCGGGUACCUGUCUCCAGGGAUCCCAGGAUCGGCCUCUCGCUGCCUGCAAAAUCUGAAGGCAGACAGAGGAGUGGUGGUGAAAUGAGAAACGAAUGUGUUUCCUUAAGGCCACUACUGAGAAGACGUCCACGUGCACAUAAGGAAACGUGGAGCAGAGGCGGCUGAGUACGUGCAGGUGGGCAUGAAGCGUGAACAGGUCACGGUCUGGGGUCUGUCGCGGGUGGGGGCUUGCUGGCCCCUGACAGUCCUUACUUCUGGGGGUGUGGUCUGGGUUUCCAUCGGGGUUCCCGGCAGAACCCAGCUGGCAAGUCUGAGGUCGGACAGAGGCAGCUCCUUGCCCCAUCCGUACGCUUCCCCGGCACCGGGGCCGGCUGUCGUCUGUUCCCAGGAGUGACCCUGAGGGUCCGGGCCUUUGUCGGGAGCGGCUCGGGCUGAAGCGCGUCAGAGAUAUGAAACUGGUCACCGCGGCUCACGGGGUGGAGGCUGGACGUGCUUUGAUCUCAUGUUGGCCGGGAUGUCGGAGGACCUUUUUGAGACAAGCCGCAGGCUUUCGUCAGGCCUCGUAGAAUGUCUGUCGUUCCUGCGGGAGGUGUGUCCCUGUUGUCAGAGG